rnacentral:misc_RNA from 1 species
GAUGAAGAACGUAGUGAAAUGCGAUAAGUAAUGUGAAUUGCAGAAUUCAGUGAAUCAUCGAAUCUUUGAACGCACAUUGCGCCCGCCAGUAUUCUGGCGGGCAUGCCUGUUCGAGCGUCAUUACAACCCUCAGGCCCCCGGGCCUGGCGUUGGGGAUCGGCGGAAGCCCCCUGCGGGCACAACGCCGUCCCCCAAAUACAGUGGCGGUCCCGCCGCAGCUUCCAUUGCGUAGUAGCUAACACCUCGCAACUGGAGAGCGGCGCGGCCACGCCGUAAAACACCCAACUUCUGAAUGUUGACCUCGAAUCAGGUAGGAAUACCCGCUGAACUUAAGCAUAUCAAUAAGCGGAGGA